GACGAACGCUGGCGGCGUGCUUAACACAUGCAAGUCGAACGGGCCUGCCUGGCUUUGGUUGGGUGGGUGAGUGGCGAACGGGUGAGUAACACGUGAGUAACCUGCCCUCUUCUCUUGGAUAACUGCUUGAAAGGGCGGCUAAUACGGGAUGUUCUGGCUGCCUCGCAUGGGGUGGUUUGGAAAGAUUCGGCCUGGUUUUGGUUGUUUUGGUGGGGGAUGGGCUCGCGGCUUAUCAGCUUGUUGGUGGGGUGAUGGCCUACCAAGGCGGUGACGGGUAGCCGGCCUGAGAGGGUGGACGGUCACACUGGGACUGAGACACGGCCCAGACUCCUGCGGGAGGCAGCAGUGGGGGAUUUUGCACAAUGGGCGCAAGCCUGAUGCAGCGACGCCGCGUGAGGGAUGGAGGCCUUCGGGUUGUGAACCUCUGUCGCCGGUGAUGUAGGCUCUGCUUUGUGGGUGGGGGGGACGGAGCCGGGGAUGAAGGCC
rnacentral:rRNA from 1 species